AGCGGCAAUAUCAUCACACAAAAACCCUAGAGGCGAUAUCUUCUACCUCCUCCAGAUUUCAAUCUCCCUCUUCCGGAUCAGUGAACAAUCGACGGUAAUCUCAGUGGUUUAUUUAUCCUCUGCCUCUCUCUCUCUCUCUCUCUCUCUCUCUCUCUGAAGAUCAUCGGCGACUAACCUCAAUCGAAGCUUAGGGUUUGAAAUUUAGUUUCUUCAACGACUGGUUCAAAUAUGAGAAUCUAAAUCGACUAUGGGCAAGCUUCAGUACUCAUAGAAGUAUUUUGAUGAUAUAAUUGAUCACAAGUUGCAUGUUUUUCUUACUCAUGAAGUUGUGAAGCUUUUUCCAAAGAAUUGACUUAUACCCGAGGUAUAACAGUAUAAGCUUAAACGUUACUGAUUAAUGGAUUUUGAAAGCAAGAUUUUUGGAAAAGGCAGAAAAUUACAAACAGAAAUCUUACUGGGAUUUACCUUCUUUCUCCUAUCACCAUGUGAGUUCAAGGUGUGUACACUUAAAUCUUUUAAACUGUUUAUUCUCAUAUUUUGUUAUUAAAAUAGUAUUAUGAUGUUAUUAACAAUAAAUUUUAGUCAAAUUAUACAGUGGAUUCAAUGUGCUUUAUUGAGUCUUUUCAACUAUGUUUACUCAUUUGACAAGCCCUAUGACCAGGCUUUUGGGGGUGGGGUAAUGUUCUUUCUAAACUUUUUUUGCUGAUGUUUUGGUGAUAAACGCGUGGGUUAGGUAACACCGUGACCCUAUGUUUUCAAAAGCGCAAAAAGCGCGCGCCUAGGCGCCCGGGCGCAGCGUAACGCACGUACAGCGCCUGGUGGUAGCCUAGGCGUAAAAACGGGUUUAAAAAAAACGGUUCUGAGGCGCAAAAAGCGCGCGCCUAGGCGCAAAAACGUGGUUGAGGCACAGGGAAGAAAGGUGAAACAUAACAAAUGACCAUAUUAAAAACGAAACCGAGUGCGUGCAAAAACUGGGUUUCCGGAGCUGCAUUUGUGUGUCCGCAGGUCGCGCGGGCACGCACGAGUUCAACUAAAUUCAAGCUCAGAACUAUAAGCUACAUGAUCUUAAAUGGCAUGUAUAAUAGUUUUUCUUUAAUUUUAUAUGUGAAAUCUUAUUUAUUUUCAAAGCAUAACAUAUUUUUUAUAUUUUUUUCUCUAUGUGCGCUUUUCUUAAAAAAGCCCACGCUUUUUUUGCGCCUUGCGCCUAGGCUCCAGGCAAAACCGAUGCGCCUCGCCUGCGCCUUGCGUCUUUGACAACAUAGCCGUGACCUUUUUGUCAUUUUUUAGAUUUUCUAUAUAAUUAAUCAAUGUGAUUAGAGGCUAAAACUGGUGGAGUAAGUAAUGGAUCAGAAUGCAAAAAACAAGAAUGGGCAUGCUACUAUCCCUCCAUGUUGCUUGAAAGCCCAGGUUUUGCUGAACUGGAAGCCAAUUGUCAUGGUACAGUUGUUUCAAGAUGGUUCAUUGAGCAUCGGGAUUCAUCUGGUCAUUAUUUUUUUCACCUCUUUGCGUACUUUUGUUAUGUUAAUAUCUUAAUUUUGUUUUUAAAGAAAACUAGCGAACUUGAAGUUAUUUAAGUUUUUGAUUAUCAAUAUAUUCAUAGAUGAUUUGCUCUUAAAUUGACUUUAUGUUUGUCUGGCUUUGCUAUUGAGUUCAUUAAAUUUCAUGUUGAUCUUAAAUAGGUUUCAUCAAUUUGAAUUGAAAUGUGUAAUAUAUGGUCAAUCUGAAGUGAAAUUUGUUUGAUUUUUAAGUUCCCAAAUACUUAUUUCUGUGUUUUCAUGGGUUUUCAGUUCUUUGCAAUCUAUAAUAAUUUUUUUUUUACUUUUUUGGCAAUGUACGGACGAUAUCCUCGAUUACUUGUAUAUAGUUAUGUACCGCUUCCAUGUGUUUGACAAUUUUUAAAUUUUAUUUUUUUAUCUAAACAAGUUGGGUUGGGUAACGGGUCAAAACGUGUUGGUUUGACAUGAAUUCGGAUGUAAAAGUUUGUAAUAUUAUGGCUUUCUGAGAGAUGAAGCCAAAGGUCUAAAUUGGUAUACACUUUAUAAAACACAGAUGGGUUGACAUGAUCGUCUGUUCUUUGAUUGCGAGUAUCUCAUUAGAUUUAAACAGCUAGCAAGACUUAGUUAUGCCCCUGAUACUUGCCAGUUUAUUAUCAUUUUCUUUGAAUCUAAUAAUCUGAUUAGAAAGUCCAUAUGGAGUAUCAUUCGAACACUUGCUGUCAAGGCUGAUGUUUAUGUCAUAUGACAGGAAAUAGAUAUUACAAGUUUUCAAGACAAAGCUAGAUCUGUGGAUGACAAUUUUUUUUGUUAAUGGAUGCCGCUUGGAGCCGAACUGAUGAGGAAUGAAAAUAUAGUAAGGCCUUUACCCUGGAACGGGAUGCAGAAGUCUUAGAAUCGAAGCGGAAGAAUGAAGAACUGAAAUAGUUUUUCAUGUGAAGUGUAGCCGGAAGGAUACCAACAAAAGUGGAGCUGGAUAAGAGAGGAGUGCAAUGGGAAAUGUGUUGUGCCCUUGCUUCGGAUACCUACCAGAAUUAGUGGACCAUGUAUUGGUUUCAUGCAAACUCGCGAAAUCGAUUUGGUGGGGAACUGGAGUGUGGCUUGGGUUGAACAAUCUUUCAGCAUGUUCAACUAUCUAAGAAGUGAUCAAAUCUGUGAUGGAUGAACAUUAUCUAAGAGGCAAAGGAAGGCUACACUGUGUGUUGUCUUGGCUGUACUGUGGAAGAUUGUCAAUGCCUCAUUAAGUUCGUCUUAUCUGUGGAAUACAUGUAAGUUGCUGAGACUAACAAAAAACAUGAGGUUAACAGUUGGAAGUUCAGCAUCAGACGCUGAAGAAAUAAAACAAUUUGCAAAAUGGCUUUUGGAUAUAGGUGAGGGAAAUGUUGGUGGUCCAAAUGAUGGAGAAGCAUCAAUUGAAAUACCAAGCGAUCUUCUGAUCACUGAUACAUCGGACCCCAUUUCAACUUUAAUUGAUUUUAUCGAGAGUUAAAACCAGACAAGGAGUUAAACUUCUGAUUUUGGACAAUGACGGCAAACCUACUAAUAAAACGACAAAUGUAGUUUACAAAGAAGUAUUUCGUGACUUGUGAUCUCCAUGUACUCAUUCAUCGUUCGAUCAUUCAUUCCAUGUAACUGUUCUCUAAAAUGAUCAAUAACAUUU